UACGAAGGGUGGCAAACGUUGCUCGGAAUUAUUGGGGCGUAAAGGCGCACGUAGGCGGCUUAGCAAGUCGGAUGUGAAAUCCCUACGGCUCAACCAAGGAAGUGCAUCCGAAACUGCUGAGCUUGAGUAACUUAAGAGGAUCGCGGAAUUCCGGUGUGAGAGGUGAAAUUCGUAGAUAGUCGGGAAGGAACACCAGUGGCGAAAGGCGGGCAGAUCCUGGGGAAGGAUAACUGGACGCUGGAGGUGCGGAAAAGCGUGGGGAGCAAACAGGGAUUAA
rnacentral:rRNA from 1 species